GAUGAACGCUGGCGGCGUGCCUAAUACAUGCAAGUCGAGCGAACAGACGAGGAGCUUGCUCCUCUGACGUUAGCGGCGGACGGGUGAGUAACACGUGGAUAACCUACCUAUAAGACUGGGAUAACUUCGGGAAACCGGAGCUAAUACCGGAUAAUAUAUUGAACCGCAUGGUUCAAUAGUGAAAGUCGGUUUUGCUGUCACUUAUAGAUGGAUCCGCGCCGCAUUAGCUAGUUGGUAAGGUAACGGCUUACCAAGGCAACGAUGCGUAGCCGACCUGAGAGAGUGAUCGGCCACACUGGAACUGAGACACGGUCCAGACUCCUACGGGAGGCAGCAGUAGGGAAUCUUCCGCAAUGGGCGAAAGCCUGACGGAGCAACGCCGCGUGAGUGAUGAAGGUCUUCGGAUCGUAAAACUCUGUUAUUAGGGAAGAACAAAUGUGUAAGUAACUAUGCACGUCUUGACGGUACCUAAUCAGAAAGCCACGGCUAACUACGUG
rnacentral:rRNA from 1 species